UAUGAUUGCUGGGCUGAUACCAAGU
rnacentral:piRNA from 1 species